rnacentral:tRNA from 1 species
GGGGUUGUGGCUCAGUGGUAGAGCGCUUGCCUAGCAUGUGUGAGGCACUGGGUUCAAUUCCCGGAACCCCA